CGGAGAAGGGGAAGGGAAAGAUACCCACGUUUACCAGAAGCGAACGCCGCCCGCCGCCGCCCACCGGCGGCAGCAGGAAUGCCGUAGGAAGCCCCUCCAGGUAUGGACAAAGGAUAAGCCUUCUCGCUUGCUUCGAUGCCUCAAGAGGGCAGUUACCCUGUCACCCCAUUCCCCCCCGCGAUCACGAGUUGCCGUCGGUUACUGACCGGGUCAACCCUUCGAUUUUAGAGAGAGAAAACCAAGCCCGGGAGAAAGUCUCCGGCUUCCCCAAAAAUUUCUAUAUCUGAGAGCGGUGGUCGCCGAGUCGCCCUCUCCAACCUCCGCGGGACUGAGGAGCCGCCGCCGGAGAAGCCGCGUGCCCGAUACUUUAAAUCCUCGGGCACUUGUUCCACUUGUGGGAAUCGGCGGCGUCGAUGCUUGUGCCGAUGAGCAUGCGGUGGUUUCCUCCCUCCCCCCCUAAAUCCCGUCCACUGGAAUCCAGAAUCAGAGGAAUUGGGGACGAGUCCCCGGCGUAGCUGCGUGGAUCUUGUAGAUCUGAGGGGAGGAGUCGUCCGCC
rnacentral:lncRNA from 1 species